AACGCUAGCUACAGGCUUAACACAUGCAAGUCGAGGGGAAACGAUAUUGGAAGCUUGCUUCCGAUAGGCGUCGACCGGCGCACGGGUGAGUAACGCGUAUCCAACCUGCCCACCACUUGGGGAUAACCUUGCGAAAGUAAGACUAAUACCCAAUGAUAUCUCUAGAAGACAUCUGAAAGAGAUUAAAGAUUUAUCGGUGAUGGAUGGGGAUGCGUCUGAUUAGCUUGUUGGCGGGGUAACGGCCCACCAAGGCGACGAUCAGUAGGGGUUCUGAGAGGAAGGUCCCCCACAUUGGAACUGAGACACGGUCCAAACUCCUACGGGAGGCAGCAGUGAGGAAUAUUGGUCAAUGGACGAGAGUCUGAACCAGCCAAGUAGCGUGAAGGAUGAAGGUCCUACGGAUUGUAAACUUCUUUUAUAAGGGAAUAAACCCUCCCACGUGUGGGAGCUUGUAUGUACCUUAUGAAUAAGCAUCGGCUAACUCCGUGCCAGCAGCCGCGGUAAUACGGAGGAUGCGAGCGUUAUCCGGAUUUAUUGGGUUUAAAGGGAGCGCAGACGGGUCGUUAAGUCAGCUGUGAAAGUUUGGGGCUCAACCUUAAAAUUGCAGUUGAUACUGGCGUCCUUGAGUGCGGUUGAGGUGUGCGGAAUUCGUGGUGUAGCGGUGAAAUGCUUAGAUAUCACGAAGAACUCCGAUUG
rnacentral:rRNA from 1 species